rnacentral:rRNA from 1 species
UACGUAGGGUGCGAGCGUUAAUCGGAAUUACUGGGCGUAAAGCGUGCGCAGGCGGUUUUGUAAGUCAGAUGUGAAAUCCCCGGGCUCAACCUGGGAACUGCGUUUGAAACUACAAGGCUAGAGUAUGGUAGAGGGGGGUAGAAUUCCACGUGUAGCAGUGAAAUGCGUAGAGAUGUGGAGGAAUACCGAUGGCGAAGGCAGCCCCCUGGGCCAAUACUGACGCUCAUGCACGAAAGCGUGGGGAGCAAACAGG